GAAAAAUACACCAUGAUAGAUGUCCUGGGUGAAGAGCAGAUUCUUGAUUUUAAAGAGUCCUUUGGCUUGUUUGCCAAAGAUGGAGAUGAGGGGGGAGCUCAAAAAGGCUUUCAAGGAUUUUGACAAAAACCAAAAUGGCUAUAUAUCAACUAGUGAGGUCGGGCCAACAUAUGUUGCAAAUUAGCUUACAACUCUUUUUCUUGAAGAAGUUGGAGUUCUUGCCAUUUUUUUUCUCAACCUACGUGCACC